GUGACUGGUGACAGAGUGAGGGAGUGGGUGACUAGUGACAGAGGGAGGGAGAGGGGGUGACUAGUGACAGAGUUAGGGAAUGGGUGACUAUUGGCAAAGUGAGGGAGGGAAGAGGUGACUAGUGACCGAGUGAGGGAGGGGGUGACUGUCACUAGUCACCCCAUCCCUCUCUCUGUCACUAGUCACUUCCUCCCUAACUCUGUCACUGUGUCACCCGCUCCCUCACUCUGUCACUAGUCACCCCCUCACUCUGUCACUGUGUCACCCCCUCCCUCCCUCUGUCACUAGUCAC
rnacentral:sRNA from 1 species